rnacentral:rRNA from 1 species
AUGCAGAUUGAUCUUAUGGAUCCUAAUUCGGCCAAUGACGAAUGGAACUGUGUCUGGGGAUCAGAAUACUCAGCCAACAGAUUCUACACCUUCUACUUUAAAGAUGUCCAGGCGCACCGUACAUACAAAUGGAUAUGGAAAUCAAGAUCAACGAUGAAAAUUAAAGUUUUCGGCUGGCUACUGUUGUCAGAUAGACUCAACACUCGCAAUAUGUUGAAGAGGAGACACUAUAACAUUGGCACAGACUUUGGUUGCCUUCUAUGCACUGCAUGCCAAGAUGAGACUGUGGAACACCUCUUCUUUGAGUGCACCUUCAGCCUUGCAUGCUGGAAUGAACUUCAAAUCAUGGGACAUGCAGCUGACAAUCGGCUAGACUGGGUGGACAAGGCCAAAGCCUCCUGGAGCCAACCUUUGUUCAUGGAAAUUUUCCUCUUGGCAUCCUGGAGCAUCUGGAAGGAAAGAAAUAAUAAGCACUUCACAGGAGUUCUUCCAUCACAAGAUUCUUGGCGUGCAAGACUCAAAGAAGACCUCUCCCUUCUCACUUAUAGAUUGGGAGACAAACAUAAAGACUUCCUUUUUUCCUUUAUCAGUUCACUGUAG